rnacentral:tRNA from 1 species
GCUGAGGUAGCUCAAUAGUAGAGCAGCAGUUUUGUAAAUUGCGGGUUGCGAGUGCAAGUCUCGCCCUCAGCUCCA